AGGAGCUGUAUAAGGUGGAAGUCUCACGUACGGUUCUAUGAGAAGGGAGUGGCUACCUACUAGAGCUUCAACCAAGCACCACCGGUCAAUUCUGCUUUGGGGCCACCCUUGACUCUAC
rfam:Capsicum annuum cultivar Zunla-1 chromosome 6, whole genome shotgun sequence